rnacentral:rRNA from 1 species
CCUACGUGUGGCAGCAGUGGGGAAUAUUGGGCAAUGGGCGCAAGCCUGACCCAGCAACGCCGCGUGAAGGAAGAAGGCUUUCGGGUUGUAAACUUCUUUUCUAAGGGACGAAGAACGUGACGGUACCUUAGGAAUAAGCUCCGGCUAACUACGUGCCAGCAGCCGCGGUAAUACGUAGGGAGCGAGCGUUAUCCGGAUUUACUGGGUGUAAAGGGCGUGUAGGCGGGAUGGCAAGUCAGGCGUGACAACUAUGGGCUCAACGCCGGCCUGCCGUCGGAACUGGGUGCCUUGAGUGGGCGAGAAGUAUGCGGAAUGCGUGGUGUAGCGGUGAAAUGCAUAGAUAUCACGCAGAACCCCGAUUGCGAAGGCAGCAUACCGGCGCCCGACUGACGCUGAGGCACGAAAGUGCGGGUAUCGAACAGGAUUAGAUACCCCUGUAGUC